GACUAGUGUUAAUAUUAUCAUUCUGAAAGUGCCAAAAGGGCAAUAUGCACUUUAACCAUCCUCAUGUUUUCCGAUAGAGGAGCACCUGUGAGGCUGUUAUCGAUCAACUGAGCCACCGCGCCCCACGCCCACUGCGCCGCCGCCUCGCUUGAUUCGCCCCGGACCCCUCUGCGCCGUCGCUGCUUCGCCUCACCCCGCUGUCUCGGUCGAUUCCGCGGCCCCAGGGCCCACUGCACCGCCGCCGCAUCUAGGCCUUUUUGGCUGCCUCGCGGCGCCACCUGCUCCGCCGCCGCAUUUGGGCCUUGUUGGCUACGUCGCGCCGCUUCCUGGGACGUCCUUGUUGGAAGUCCCAUCUUCCUCGGCCGGUUCUGCCCUUGUUGGCCGUCUGGCGGUGCCGCCUCACGCGUCCUGGUCGAAGGGCUCUUCUUCUCCUUUUUUUUUUGCGAAUAUAGGGCCCUUCUUCUCCAACGUGCGGCUGACCCGUCCGUUAUCUUCACCUUCGUCCCGAUCGCCUGUGCAUUCUUCAUUGCUGUGGCGAUGUGACCUGGUUUGGAUGAUGGAUGAUAUUGGUGAAACAGAGGUGAGAGAAGAAUAUAUUACGAUGGUCAGUCAAAUAUUUGAUAGCGAAGAACAAGGUUACGAGCACUACAACAAAUAUGUGAAAGAGAAAGGGUUCGAUGUCAGAUUGGACUAGAAGAGUAUGUGGCUGGGACCAAAGAAGUAAAAAAAAGACGGUUUGUCUGUUCCAAAGAAGGUUACCGUUUGCAGAAGUAUUUUGAAGCAACUGAGCAAAAGAGAUAGACAUGAAGUUUGGUUACAGUUUCUGUUUCCUGUAUGUACGGAGACCUGAAGUUUGGUUACAUGUUCUAUUUCCUGUAAGGAUUGCUUUGUUCCGUAGACAAUAUUGCUUGUGUGUUACUGCGGCUAGUUCAAAAAUAUUGAGUGCAAUUGACCUUGUUGCUCUGUUGGUUUUGAUCAUA